rnacentral:rRNA from 1 species
GACGAACGCUGGCGGCGUGCUUAACACAUGCAAGUCGAACGGAAAGGCCCUGCUUUUGUGGGGUGCUCGAGUGGCGAACGGGUGAGUAACACGUGAGUAACCUGCCCUUGACUUUGGGAUAACUUCAGGAAACUGGGGCUAAUACCGGAUAGGAGCUCCUGCUGCAUGGUGGGGGUUGGAAAGUUUCGGCGGGUGGGGAUGGACUCGCGGCUUAUCAGCUUGUUGGUGGGGUAGUGGCUUACCAAGGCUUUGACGGGUAGCCGGCCUGAGAGGGUGACCGGCCACAUUGCGACUGAGAGACGGCCCAGAGUCCUACGGGAGGCAGCAGUGGGGAAUAUUGCACAAUGGGCGGAAGCCUGAUGCAGCAACGCCGCGUGCGGGAUGACGGCCUGCGGGUUGUAAACCGCAUUCGCCUGUGACGAAGCGUGAGUGACGGUAAUGGGUAAAGAAGCACCGGCUAACUACGUG